rnacentral:rRNA from 1 species
AAUCAACGCUGGCGGCGUGCCUCAGACAUGCAAGUCGAACGAUUAAACUUGCCUUCGGGCAAGAUAUAAAGUGGCGCACGGGUGAGUAACACGUAAGUAAUCUACCUUCGAGUGGGGAAUAACGUCGGGAAACCGACGCUAAUACCGCAUAAUGCAGCGGCACCUAAUGGUGACAGUUGUUAAAGGAGCAAUUCGCUUGAAGAGGAGCUUGCGGCAGAUUAGCUAGNGGUAAGGUAAUGGCUUACCAAGGCUACGAUCUGUAACCGGUCUAAGAGGACGGUCGGUCACACUGACACUGAAUAACGGGUCAGACUCCUACGGGAGGCAGCAGUCGGGAA